CUCAAAGAGAAGCUGUCCGACUCUAAAAGCCAGAUCCAGCAAGUUCAAAUAGAGAUCAUCUCCAUACGAGAAGAGGCGAAAUCUCUCAAAGUUAAACUGCAGGACUUGGAGAAAGUGAAGAAACGGCAGCAGGCAGACUUGGCCAAUAAAGACAGGACCAUACAGCAACUGAAAACGGAACAUUCUGCUGACGAGAACCUCAAGCUCAAUCCGAACACC